GAGUUUCGCUCUUGUUGCCCAGGCUGGAGAGCAAUGGCACGAUCUUGGCUCACUGCAACCUCCGCCUCCCGGGUUCAAGCGAUUCUCCUGCCUCAGCCUCCCGAGUAGCUGGGAUUAUAGGCAUGCAACACCAAAUCCGGCUAAUUUUGUAUUUUUUUUUUUAGUAGAGAUGGGGUUUCUCCAUGUUGGUCAGGCUGGUCUCGAACUUCUGAGCUCAGGUGAUCCACCCACCUUGGCCUUCCAAAGUGCUGGGAUUACAGGCAUGAGGCAUGAGCCACCGCGCCUGGCCAAAAAAAUAACUUUCAUAUUGUCAGGUUAUUUCUCAAAGACUAAUGAGUUACAUGCACAUGAGUUUGGGGGUCUAUCAAAAAACCAGUUCAGUGGUAGAUACUCUAUCAAAAUAUUGAUCCAGUGGUUCUCAAUACUAGCUGUUUAUUCAAAUCAACUGAGAAGCUUUUAAAACUACCAGUAUCCAGAUUUCACCACAGAUCAACUGAAUCAGAAUCUUUGGAGGUAUGCCCAAGGAAUGAUUUGCACAUAUCAUAUUGAUAUAUGAUUUGCACAUAUUGAUUUUCACAUCCCCACUCUUCAUAAUAGGUUUUUCUAAAGAAUUAGCAUAUUUGAAGGUGGUUUUGUUUUUCCGAUAAUCACAAAAUUUUAGAACUGAAAUAAUAUCUGGAUCAAUCCCUUAGUUUAACAGCUAAGGACACUGUGGGACAAUCCAGCUAUUAUUUCAGUUCUAAAUUUCUAAACCUCAAGAAAGGUUGAGUGAGUGGCCUCACAUAGUGAGGUGGUGGUUGCUGAGUGACAAGUCAUAUCUUGAAUUAGUGGAAUUCUCUGAACUCCAGUUCUGGAGCUGUAGCCAAUAGACCAAACUGCCAAGGCUUUAAAUUCUGCUUUCCCCUAAAGAAAAUGUAUUCAAAAUAUUACAACAGUUGAAUUUUAAAAGCUGUUAGCACCAGGUACUCAUUAAAGACCUUCAGUUUGGCACAUUCCAACUAGCCCAUUGUCAUGGCAAGAGGAAAUGCCACAGCAGGAUAUAUCAAAGUCCAAAAUAAAUGACUAGUAUCUAUUUGCAGGCUUUUUCAUUGGCCCUAACUUGAAAGUCCAUAAUAUUUUAUGUUAUCAGAGCCCAGGGUGCUUCUAGCCCUUAACUAUACCACUUAUUAGCAAACUUCUUUGCUUAUGAACCAGCUAAUCAAUACUCUGAACUUCCCUUUUCUCUGUAAAAAAGAAAAUAGUCCCUCUUAUUGACCUUGCAAUUUCAGCUAUAGUAAGGAUUAAAUAAAAUAAUCUAUGUGGAGAUAUUUUAAGAAUUUAAAAUCUCUAUUCAUAGAUAUAUAUAGGAUUACUAUAUUACUGUUUCUAAGAGCAACGACUUGUGAAAAAAUAUUUGUUGCUUUGAUUACCAAGGCUCUAAAUCUUAAUUCCUUGCUAUCAUGCCACUCAAGCAUCACCGGGAAGUGAAGUCAGAACAGGACUAGAGUCUCUAGUCCCUGAAAGUAUCCCAUAACUAAUAUUCAAGGAGGUAAAGUGAUGUAGUGACCUAGGACUCAGCUACUCUAGGCUCCAUUCCCAGAGUCUGCUAUUGACCUUGGACAAGCCACUUAAUUUUUCUGGAACCAGAGUCUCGUCAGUGGUCAAAAGAUGACUUGAAUUAGAGUCAAAGAUCCCUUUGAGUUAUAAAAUCAGAAUACGAACAUUUAAUUAAAAUUACUAAAGUACAACUUCCCAAGUCAUUAAUUCAUCUGGUUUUACAUUUUUUAAAUCUCUUUUUAGAAGUACAGAGUUGGAGACUAAAAACAUAGCCUAUUUCUGGCAAACAGACAUUUCAAAGACAUGUGUCUGAAAUGUCAGAGACCUUCUAAAAUAAUUCUAAAGAGAAACAUCUCUACGGAAAUAAGAUACUUUGUGCUCGUUUAAUAAACUCUCUGGGAGACCCUUGCUCCAAAAAUAAAUAUAUGGAUACCCCCAAAGCACUUAAUUCUGUACUGGACACAGAGUAGGCACCCAAAUACUUUGUUAACAGCUCUCAGUUUUUGUCCCAGUUCUUGUUACUUAACUCGUCUGACCCUGUUUUCUUAUCUAUAAAGUGGGAACAAUACCUUCCCCAAUGAUCCAUUGAGAUUAGAAGUAUUAAAAAGUUCUGUAAACUGUUAAAAACAAUUGCAAGAUGUUACUAUUAGCUUAGAAAUUUAGCUAACUAUUCCAUGACCUUACUAAAAUGUGCUUUUUGGAGAGAUGGAUUAAAAUCUUUCUGAAUGUAUUACAGAGCACCUACCCCAAUGCCUGACUCAACAAAUACGCUCAAUAAAUGUUUGCUGCAUGGAAAGUAUAAUAUACAGAAAGAGCAAAAGCUCCAUAAACUCAGGUCCCAUGUUCGUUCUUAUUUCCAAAUUCCCAGUAUCUAGCAGAAUAUCUAGCACAGCAUAGAAGAAAUUCAAUCAUUAGAUGAAUAAACUUUUGCCCCCUCUAGUUCCUCUUCAGCACAGCUCAAGAGGGAGAGACUGGUAGAGGAGACAUCAAGGAUGAUUAUGGGUAAAGGCUGCUUGGAAUGGAAAACUUGAAAUUACUUGCAGAAUUCAUCCACUCUCCAUCAAAAAAAAGCUUGGGAAACCAGAAAGAGCACAGGCUCUGAGUUCAAAUUCAGUUUCCAAAAAUCUGCAAUUUUGAUAAAUUAACCAACUAACCUCUCCAAGACUCAGUUUCCUCAUCUUAAAAUGAGAAUAACUCAUAUGGGCGCUCACUAGAAUGGAAACUCCAUGAAGGCAGGGACUUUACUUUGGGCCCACUGUAUCCACACUGCAUUUAACAGCGCCUGGGCACAGCACAGGCUCUCAGAUAUUUGUUGAAUGAAUGUGUAUGAAAUUGAUUGAGCUAACAUAGGUGAAGUAUUAACAGAGUGCCUGACACGUAAUUACCAUUGGGGCAACGGGAACCUUUGUCAUCACCACCACCGCUACUGUAUCGGUAUUAUUACAGUUCCUGGAGGUCGUAGAGCGGCCGCUUCGGGGGGAAAGGCCUGGUUUCAAACCUCGACUUUCCCAUUCUCUGGCCGUGUGACUUAGGAUAAAUUACUGAAACUAUUCGGGUUCCUUUUUAUUUCCACAAAAAUUUGUGUUGGGAGAAUUAGAGGAUAUAGGGAAAUUACCUAAGAGAAUCUGGAGCCCCGGUGGCACGAGAUGCAUGCUAGAGAUUAGUAUUAAGGCAGAAAAUCGCCGAGUCCUCUUUUAUCCAGAUAACUGCUUUCGAUUAUUUCCCACAUUACUGUAGCUGAGUACAUAACAAGAACGCAAACAAGGGUGGAAGGAAUUCCCGAGACCGAAACCGCUAAAUGAGAAAAGGGAAUUAAACCGGUGCCUGACAGUUCCCACCAAGGGAUGGCAGUUUCCGCGACCGUCGGCCAGUCCAGCCAGCCCAGCCAGCCGAGACUGGAGCAGGACAGUCAGCGGCAUAACGAACAAAACCGAAGCAGAGGCUUAGACCCUCCCUCUAACGGUCUCCCCGCCGCUGGCCUCAGGCGGCCGCCAGACUCCCAUUUCCGGCCCUCGCGGUACCACAGUUCCCAGCAUGCCCUUGGAGGGAAGUCUUUCCGGCUGGAUGACUACUAAUCCCAGCAUGCCAUUCGGCACUCCAGUAAAUUAGAUGGAAGAGCGGGAUAAGCCCAUUGCAUGCAGGGAAUUGCAGUCCAUUUAGCGGCUGGUUCAUAGAUGGGCGGGGAAGAGCCGGGUCGCUCUUGUCCUUUGAGAAUGAUUCAUAGAGGAGGGUCAGGAAAGAAGAACGGUUCAGUCUGUGAAAGCCCCCUUAAAAGACUGGACACUUCUCCCAGGGAGGGAGAGGCAGGAGAGCAAGCAGGGCCUUGGGCCUGACUCCGCCUCGGUCCGCUAGCCAGGCCCCGACCGAGUCCUGGGCCUUGUCGGGGGCGGCCGUGAGGCGCCGGUUGCUGGGGGAGCGGUGACGUCGCGGGGUGAAAGUUGAGGGGCGGUGACGUCGGGCCGGCCCGGGCGGAGGCUGGCGGGUUGGAGGCAGGAGGGAGGGAGGGAAGGAGGGAAGGAAGGAAGCUGGGAAGGAGCGAGCGGGGGCGCGAGGCGUUUACCUGGAGGCAGCGGCUUGGGCGCGCAGAGCGGCCGCGGCUCCCCCGCACCUGCGGCCAUGGAUGAGGAGCGCGCCCUCUACAUCGUCCGGGCCGGCGAAGCAGGGGCUAUCGAGCGGGUCCUGAGGGAUUACAGCGACAAGCAUAGGGCUACUUUCAAAUUUGAAUCAACAGAUGAAGAUAAAAGAAAGAAACUCUGUGAAGGCAUAUUUAAAGUCCUUAUAAAGGACAUCCCAACAACAUGUCAAGUGUCCUGCCUGGAAGUACUCCGCAUUCUCUCCAGAGACAAAAAGGUUUUAGUUCCUGUAACAACUAAGGAAAAUAUGCAGAUACUGCUGCGACUAGCCAAGCUAAAUGAGUUAGAUGAUUCUUUGGAGAAAGUAUCAGAGUUCCCAGUUAUUGUGGAGUCAUUAAAAUGUCUGUGUAAUAUAGUGUUCAACAGUCAGAUGGCACAGCAGCUCAGCCUGGAACUUAAUCUUGCUGCAAAGCUCUGUAACCUCCUGAGAAAGUGCAAGGACCGGAAAUUUAUCAAUGACAUUAAGUGCUUUGACUUGCGCUUGCUCUUCCUUCUGUCACUUUUGCACACCGACAUCAGGUCACAAUUGCGCUAUGAGCUCCAGGGACUACCGCUGCUAACCCAGAUCUUGGAAAGUGCCUUUAGCAUCAAGUGGACCGAUGAGUAUGAAUCGGCCAUAGACCAUAAUGGACCUCCUCUCUCACCUCAGGAGACGGACUGUGCCAUUGAGGCCCUCAAAGCUCUCUUCAAUGUGACGGUAGACAGUUGGAAGGUGCAUAAAGAGAGUGAUUCUCAUCAGUUCCGUGUAAUGGCAGCUGUCCUUCGUCAUUGUUUACUAAUCGUAGGUCCAACUGAAGACAAAACAGAAGAGCUACACAGCAAUGCAGUCAACCUUUUAAGCAAUGUUCCGGUCUCUUGUUUGGAUGUUCUCAUUUGUCCGUUAACCCAUGAAGAAACAGCCCAAGAGGCAACGACUGUAGAUGAACUGCCCAGUAAUAAAACAGCUGAGAAAGAAACAGUUUUGAAAAACAAUACCAUGGUAUACAAUGGUAUGAAUAUGGAGGCCAUUCAUGUUUUACUCAAUUUUAUGGAGAAGAGAAUAGACAAGGGAAGCAGCUAUAGAGAGGGUCUAACUCCAGUUCUCAGCUUAUUAACUGAAUGUUCCCGAGCCCAUCGAAACAUCCGAAAAUUUCUCAAAGAUCAGGUUUUACCACCGUUGAGGGAUGUGACAAAUCGACCUGAAGUUGGCUCAACUGUGAGAAAUAAGCUGGUGCGCCUCAUGACACAUGUUGACCUUGGAGUCAAGCAAAUUGCUGCUGAAUUCCUUUUUGUCCUUUGCAAAGAGAGAGUGGAUAGUCUGCUGAAAUACACUGGCUAUGGGAAUGCUGCAGGACUGUUGGCGGCCAGGGGCCUCUUGGCUGGAGGAAGAGGAGAUAAUUGGUACUCAGAGGACGAGGACACAGACACUGAAGAAUACAAAAAUGCAAAACCAAACAUUAAUCUUAUCACUGGUCAUUUAGAGGAACCAAUGCCAAACCCCAUAGAUGAAAUGACAGAAGAACAAAAAGAAUAUGAAGCCAUGAAACUUGUCAACAUGCUUGAUAAACUUUCCAGGAGAGCAGAUGUGAAGGACCUGCACCAGGAUGGUGGUUAGCAACAGUGGCCCGUGCCAAAGCACUUACCAAAGUGAUGAUGACUAAGACCCUGUCAUUAAUUCCAUGUGUCAAUACUGCCCUGUAGUACACAGAGCAGACAAGAAAGAAGAGCCCUUGAAAACAAGGGAAUGAUUUUUGAGUCGUUAUCAAGCUAAGUGGCAAGCGGGAAGCUGAAACUCGUAUAGUUGAACAUUCUUGGAGGCUUAUCUCUUCCCUGGCCAGAUGCCUGAUCAGAUGAGAAGCCCGCCAUGAUACUGUCACAGUGCCUAGAAUGGGCUCUUUAUCCAGUAGACACCACUGUACUUUUUGAUACGAGGGCAGUCUUAACUUGUGUUAAGGCCUGUGUGUAGCAUUGAAGAGAGGAGUUGCUUAAACCAAUGGGACUAAAACCUGAUGGGACAAUAACGCCUUUGGAGGAAGCACUCAACCAGUACUCUGUCAUCGAAGAGACCAGCUCUGACACAGACUAAAAGCAUCACCUGCUCAACUCUCAAUAUUGCUUUAUCAGCAUCUUUUCUCUGUAGCUCCAGGGGAAUCUUUUCUCUAAAACAUUUAUGCCCUUGCUUUGGCUAGAAACACAUUAACUGGUUUACUCAUUGAGAAUCCAGCAUAUUUAAGAGGUGACCCUGUGUUUUUUGUGAUAUUGAGGCAUUCAUACAGAGCUGCAGUUAGACGGGGUUACGGGGGCUAGAAGCAGAAAAAAAAUUCCAUUUCAUCAGGAUGGAACUGAAGGAUUUUAUUCUAUAAAGUGGCCCUGGUUGAAUCUGGCAAUUCUUUUUGCCAAGAUUCCUAGCAGAUGAUUUAGCCAUGUCCUUCCCCUCACUUGUGUGAGUGGCCCCUUCUGAAUCUCUCCAGCAGCCAGAGGCACGUGAGAAGCAGAAUGAGCUGGUAAAUAAAGUCUUGGGCAAGCGACGUCUUAGAUCAGAACUCACCAAAUGGAAGCCUAGCAGCUGCUCCGUAAACCUAGCCCCAUUCUUCAUAUCAAUUUUGUAUAAAUAUAUAGAAACACACACACAGCCUCAGACUUACAAACUGAUAAUACUCUAAAAGUUUGUAUGUCAGUUAGCUAAAAUUUCAGAAUACAUUUCUCCCUAUAAAGAGUUAUAAAUGAUGGUUUAGUUCUCAGGCAGCUACAAAUGCCUAUUUAUUCCCUAAUGUACCUGAACACUAGUACCACAGAACUGAACCAUCAUCUGUAUCAGCGCAUGGGGAGUGUGCAUUCUGAGGUCUAAGCCGGGGUGCCAGGAACACACACAUCCUCCAUCCCAGCAUAGAGAAUGGGGACUCCCUGAGUAAUGGGAGUUCUUUUGUGGCCUCUGCUUGGGGUGGGGGAGUCAGCAGCACCCAUUUGUACAUAUAGGUCAUUCAUACAUCACAUUUUAAAUGGGGGACUGUGUGUGCUGGUGUGUGUGUGAGUUCUACGUUUCUACCAUAUGUGAUCAGUUUAAUAGUAACUUUAUUUAUUUAAAAAAAAGAAACACAGUUAGUUACUGUUAAACUGAUAAAGGGUGUUUAUUUUUACUUUUAGAAUUGGUCCUAUGAAGAAGUAGAAAGUGAGUCAUGCACUAGACAGUGGGCCUAGCUCAUCAGUGGCUAAAGUUGAAAAGGGGUUGGUUUCCUGUAUAUAUAUGUAUGUGUAUACACACGUACAUACAUUCAUAUAUAUACAUAUAUACAUAAUGUGCUUAACCACUGCCUUUUAAAACUUUAAAUUAAAUAAAACAUUGGGGUUGAUUCAA